rnacentral:misc_RNA from 1 species
UUCUAUGAAGGCAACGUGCAGGGCGUUGGCUUUCGCUACUCUGUAAAGCAGGUCGCGAAAGGCUUCGACGUGAUCGGCUGGGUGCGAAAUCUCACCGACGGUCGCGUCGAGCUGCAGGCUGCGGGCGAGCCUGCUGAGCUCGCGGCAUUUCUGGACGCGAUCAGGAACAGCCACCUGCGCGCGC